rnacentral:rRNA from 1 species
UACGGGGGGGGCAAGCGUUGUUCGGAAUUACUGGGCGUAAAGGCUCGUAGGCGGCCAACUAAGUCACACGUGAAAUCCCCGGGCUCAACCCGGGAACUGCGUCCGAUACUGGAAGGCUUGAAUCCGGGAGAGGGAUGCGGAAUUCCAGGUGUAGCGGUGAAAUGCGUAGAUAUCUGGAGGAACACCGGUGGCGAAGGCGGCAUCCUGGACCGGCAUUGACGCUGAGGCGCGAAGGCCAGGGGAGCAAACGGG